CUCAACAUUGUUGCACACAAAUAUGUCAGAAACACCUGACUGGACCAGCAAAAAAAAAAAUAUGAUUCACCAUUAAUCCUGUUUCUUUGGAAUUUUUCCUGGAGACCCAUGGUAGAGUCCAGAUCACCUUUGAUGCUUCCCUUCUUUUCAACAUACAGAACCAGUACCCAAUCCUCAAAGUUGUGCCUCCUAGCUUUUUUGAAACUAUUCCUCCUGCCAUAAGUCAAGUGGUCGGUAUUCUUUACCUGAACUGAUAUAGCAAACUUGUCUGACUGUCUUUCAGAUGCCACUGCUACUCCUUCACUUGCUCAUUCUGCAAAAGUUUGUAGAUCUUCUGCAAGGAGAACGGCAUUGUUAACUACCUACAGGAAGUGGUGUUGAUUUCCAAGAAAGAUCUUGUUCUUCAAACUCUGUUACAGCGUCUUCUCUGGAGAAGUCAACAGUGAGAUGGGCUAAAUGAAGAAGGAGCAGCUUAUUGUCUUUGUUGGUUUUCUUUAUUUUCCUUCGAAGCAUCUGGGGGAAGAGGAAGACAAUGGAUGAGAUGGCGUAUGUUCUUUCCGCCCUGUGAAUGAAUCAGAUUUGAACUCCUAAGCAAAAUAGAAAAUGCAGAAAUGGUGCUCAGGCAAAACCUGAGAGACACCGGGCUCAAGCGACUCUCCUCUGAAGUCCAUCUGAUAAAGUCUGAAUUAUGGAUAAGUCCUUUCCCCCUCAAUAGUCUACUGCUUACUAAAGUGUAGCUCAAUGACUCUGUGGGCUUGGGUAAUCAGCAGGUAAGCAUAGCUAUGCCCAAUGAAGCAGGGGCUGUGAGAAGAAGCCUUGAAGAGUACCUAAAGUAGAAAAUAAGUGAACUUUCUCCUAAGCCCAUAGGAAACAUCACUAUCCUGCUGAAGGCAGGGCAGAGGGAACACAGCAGAGUAGGCUCAGAAUAACUGGGAUUUGGGCACUGAUAUUAAUGUCACCAUAUCUACACUUAUUGAUUGUUGAGAUUAUACAUUUGGCUUGAAACCACAGGAACUAAUAUACUCUAAAUAUAAGCUGAGAAAAAUUAAAAAUAACCACAACUACAACAGUAGAAAGAGAAAAUAUAUGAAUGCCAAGAAUCUAAUGUGUAAAUUAACUACAAGGGUUUAGAAGUUUUGGGCAUCUCCCUGGGGAUUAGCUGUGCUCAGUCUCCCCUCCAGGAAAUCAUUUACAACUCUAUGUCUGUUACCCCAAAAUGACUUAAAUGAAGUUUAGGAUAAGACAGAGACAAGUUCAGAACAAGACAUGGGUGAGGUUCAGAAGAAUGAAAUUGAAAUUAUAUGAAUUUCCAAUUGUUAGAGAUGCAUGAGUGAGAUACAGGUUUUCAAGUGUUGUGAUGUCAUACCAUAAAAUGAUUAUAAACAUUUAGGAAACAAUCUCUCCUGUGGAAUCAGGAAUCAUUACUAAAUAUCACAAUUAUAGUGGAGACGCUGAAGAAGUCAAUAUAUGUGUUCUGAAAAACUUGAUUAAAUAAACUUCAAGGACACAGAGAAAGGCGCUGUGAUCUGUUCUCUGCAAAGGGCCUGAUAUAUUUAGAUUUUCAUUAAGAUGGGCUGAAACACAAAAUGUCUUCAGUUAUCCAGGAAAUGUAAUUAACCACUUCUUAAGAUUUCUACUUAAUCAAUGCUAUUUUUCCCCAUAUUUGGUUAAUUGAACUGUCUGCCUCCACUAUAGUCUGAGGUAUGUGGCUAAUUUUGGCCAGCAAUAUCAAGGACAUGAAACUCAAGGUAAUUUUUUUCCCUCCAAAAUAGCCUCUAUAUUUUCG
rnacentral:lncRNA from 1 species